UAACUACGUGCCAGCAGCCGCGGUAAUACGUAGGUGGCAAGCGUUAUCCGGAAUUAUUGGGCGUAAAGAGGGAGCAGGCGGCAGCAAGGGUCUGUGGUGAAAGCCUGAAGCUUAACUUCAGUAAGCCAUAGAAACCAGGCAGCUAGAGUGCAGGAGAGGAUCGUGGAAUUCCAUGUGUAGCGGUGAAAUGCGUAGAUAUAUGGAGGAACACCAGUGGCGAAGGCGACGAUCUGGCCUGCAACUGACGCUCAGUCCCGAAAGCGUGGGGAGCAAAUAGGAUUAGAUACCCUAGUAGUCCACGCCGUAAACGAUGAGUACUAAGUGUUGGAUGUCAAAGUUCAGUGCUGCAGUUAACGCAAUAAGUACUCCGCCUGAGUAGUACGUUCGCAAGAAUGAAACUCAAAGGAAUUGACGGGGGCCCGCACAAGCGGUGGAGCAUGUGGUUUAAUUCGAAGCAACGCGAAGAACCUUACCAAGUCUUGACAUCGGAAUGACCGGAACUUAACCGUUCCUUUUCUUCGGAACAUUCCAGACAGGUGGUGCAUGGUUGUCGUCAGCUCGUGUCGUGAGAUGUUGGGUUAAGUCCCGCAACGAGCGCAACCCUUAUCGUUAGUUACCAUCAUUAAGUUGGGGACUCUAGCGAGACUGCCAGUGACAAGCUGGAGGAAGGCGGGGAUGACGUCAAAUCAUCAUGCCCCUUAUGACCUGGGCUACACACGUGCUACAAUGGAUGGUGCAGAGGGAAGCGAAGCCGCGAGGUGAAGCAAAACCCAUAAAACCAUUCUCAGUUCGGAUUGUAGUCUGCAACUCGACUACAUGAAGUUGGAAUCGCUAGUAAUCGCGAAUCAGCAUGUCGCGGUGAAUACGUUCUCGGGCCUUGUACACACCGCCCGUCACACCACGAGAGUUGAUAACACCCGAAGCCGGUGGCCUAACCGCAAGGAAGGAGCUGUCUAAGGUGGGAUUGAUGAUUGGGGUGAAGUCGUAACAAGGUAUCCCUACGGGAACGUGGGGAUG
rnacentral:rRNA from 1 species